GGAGCAGAGAGAGAAAAGGAAACAUCUGGAGCGUGAAUACAGUCCUCCAGCUGUAAAGAAAUCAAGAGACUUAUGGAAGGAGGAGUCACCACCUGGGAGCGUUGUGGAUGACAAGAUCCUGGUCCAAGAGGAAGAAGAUCCAUCUGUCAAGUUGCAGAGCUACACCCGUGACUCCGGUGUGUGCACGCCCAAUGAUGUUGACUUCCAGCUGCUUCAACAAGAUGUGCCUGAGCCAUGUGAGGUUGUCGAGAUCGAAACCUGCAGCCAGGCACCAGGAGACAGUGAUCCCACCUCAGAAUCUGUCUACUCUUCCAACACAUCCAGAAAUUCUGAUGAAGGAGAAAUGCAUCAAAGCCAGAAGGAAGAUCUCGG